rnacentral:rRNA from 1 species
UACGAGAGGCCCAAACGUUAUUCGGAAUUACUGGGCUUAAAGAGUUCGUAGGCGGCAUGAAAAGUAGGGUGUGAAAGCCCUCGGCUCAACCGAGGAAUUGCGCUCUAAACUGUCGUGCUAGAGGAAGCUAGAGGUGAGCGGAACUGAUGGUGGAGCGGUGAAAUGCGUUGAUAUCAUCAGGAACACCGGAGGCGAAGGCGGCUCUGGGGCUUUU